GACGAACGCUGGCGGCGUGCUUAACACAUGCAAGUCGAACGGAAAGGCCCCUUUGGGGGUACUCGAGUGGCGAACGGGUGAGUAACACGUGAGUAACCUGCCCUUGACUUCGGGAUAACUUCAGAAAACUGGGGCUAAUACCGGAUAGGAAUCCUUGCUGCAUGGUGGGGGUUGGAAAGCUUCGGGGGUUUUGGAUGGGCUUGCGGCGUAUCAGCUUGGUGGUGGGGGAGUGGAUUGCCGAGGUUUUGAUGGGUAGCUGGCCUGAGAGGGUGACCGGUCACAUUGGGACUGAGGGACGGCCCAGGCACCGACGGGUGGCAGCAGUGGGGAAUAUUGCACGAUGGGCGGAAGCCUAAUGCAGCAACGCCGCGGGCGGGAUGACGGCCUUCGGGUUGUAGACCGCUGUCAGCAGGGGCGAAGCUUGUGGUGACGGUACCUGCAGAAGAAGCACCGGCUAACUACGUG
rnacentral:rRNA from 1 species